rnacentral:rRNA from 1 species
GACAGCCAGGAGGUUGGCUCAGAAGCAGCCAGACAGCCAGGAGGUUGGCUCAGAAGCAGCCAUCCUUUAAAGAAAGCGUAACAGCUCACUGGUCGACUAUUUGGAAUUUGGCGCGGAAAAUGAACCGAGGCUGAAGCGUUUUGCCGAAGACACAGGAACGUACAAUUUCGCUUUGCGAAAUGUUACGUUCGGUAGGGGAGCGUUGAAAUUGCAGUGAAGGGCUGGUGUGAACCAGUUUGGAGCGAUUUUAAGUGAGAAUGCCGGAAUGAGUAGCGUAAGUCCGAUGAGAAUUCGGACCGCCGAAAACCCAAGGUUUCCUUCGCUACAUUGUUUGGCGGAGGGUGAGUCGGCACCUAAGGUGAGUCCCGGUGUUACACCGGGAGUAGCUGAUGGACGAGCCGUAAAGAUUCGGCUACAAAGUGAGUGUCGUUAUUAACCAGGGAUGGACAAAAUAAGAAUCCUCGAACGCGUGCAGUGAAUGCGCGUUUAAGCUGUAAGAUAGUUGACCCGCAAAAUACGGGUUGACGUUUAAUCGAGCAGUGAUGAAGAGCUGGCUUGAGCAAUUGAGUUGGCAAUUCGGGCGGUUUUUGUUUUCGAGAAAAGAUUCGUGGUGAGACAUUUACUUUGCCGUACCGCAAUCCGACACUGGUGGGUUGGUCGAGUAGACCAAGGCGAUCGGGAGAAGGUAGUUCAAGGAACUCGGCAAAAAAGCUGGACGUAAUUUUGAGAGAUGUCCUGCCCGGUGUUACACCGGGCCGCAGCAAAAGAGUGCUCUGCGACUGUUUAACUAAAACACAGGUCUGUGCAAACUCGAAAGAGGCAGUAUACAGGCUGAGGCCUGCCCAGUGCUCGUAAGUUAAGUGGAUGGGUGCAAGCCCUGAAAUGAAGCUCGAGUGAACGGCAGCAAUAACUAUAAUUGUUCUAUGGUAGCGAAAUUCCUUGUCGGGUAAGCGGUGGAAGCAAGCCCGACGUAAAUAACUGACUCAUAUCGGUGGAGCCUCUUGACCUUUGGAUUUUAUUCGGGUUAAGAUGGUAAUACCGAGGGAAGUCGUAAUUGACCCCGUAACGACUCAGAGUAAACAUAAACUCUGGAGGCAAGCAUGCCUAAUACGUCAGUAUCGCAGGAUGUUUGUUGGUAUCUGUCGGGUUAUGCCGACGGAGAAGGCAGCUUUUGUGUAAGUUUUUCUCCCAGAAGUAAGUUGAGGACCAAACUUGAGGUCAGACCAAGCUUUUCUGUUAGUCAGAAUGUCGACCACUCUGAGGUUUUGAGAUUAUUUCAAAAGACUUUAGAUUGUGGAUCAAUUAGACCGGACAGAAGUGACAAGACCUUAAAGUUUGAAGUUCGAAGCCUAGCCGAGAUUAAUAGUAAAGUAAUACCUUUUUUUGAAAGGUAUCCACUUAAAUCUUCUAAGCAUAAAGAUUUUUUGCUUUUUUCGAAUAUUUGUCGAAAGAUAGCAGGAAAACAGAAUAUUAAGGAGAUUAUUGAUCUUGCUGUGAUGAUGAAUACUUCUGGAAUGAGAAAAUAUGAUAAACAGAAACUUUUGAGUAUUUUGCGAUAAAGGUAUAGUCUAUCCCAUUGGUGACAAUGGAUUUAUCGAUGAAGUUCCGACCCGCACGAACGGCUCAACGACAGAGCAACUGUCUUGAACUAUCACCCGGCGAAAUUGAAAUGGCUGUGAAGAUGCGGCCUAACUCUACUAGGACAAAAAGACCCUAUGGAGCUUUACUGUACCCAGGCCCUGUUUUGGAUUUUGAGAUAGUUGAGAGUAGGAGGGAUCCCGACUUUGUCGGGAGAAAGUGAAACACCUCUCGUUUUGAAAUCUCAAGACUAACUUAUUUCGGCUGGAAACGCCGAGGAGGAUAAGGUCUGGGGGGCAGUUUUACUGGGGAGGUAUCCUGCUAAAGAGUAACGCAGGAGUACUAAGGUGCACUAAACUCGGAUGGAAAUCGAGUGGAUCGUGUAACGGCAUAAGUGCGCUUGACUGUGAGAGUGACGGCUCGAGCAGGUGCGAAAGCAGGUCGUAGUGAUCCCCCGAUCCUUCGUGGGAGGGACGGGGCUUAACGGAUAAAAGCUACCCUAGGGAUAACAGGCUGAUCGCCUCCAAGCGUCCACAGCGACGAGGCGGUUUGGCACCUCGAUGUCGGCUCAUCCUAUCCUGGAGGGGCAGUACCUUCCAAGGGUCGGGCUGUUCGCCCGUUAAAAGGGUACGCGAGCUGGGUUCAGAACGUCGUGAGACAGUUCGGUCUCUAUCCAGUAGAGUCGUGAAGUUCUUGAGGGGGUCCGCCCUCAGUACGAGAGGACCAGGGUGGAGAAACCUCUGGUGUGCCGGUUGUCGCGUCAGCGGCAGCGCCGGGUAGCUAAGUUUCUACGGGAUAACCGCUGAAAGCAUCUAAGUGGGAAGCCCUACCCAAGAUAAGGAACUGAUUAAGACAACCCGGGGAAGACUACCCCGUACAAGAGGCUGGCGGUGUAAGUGCGGUAACGCAUUUAGCCUACCAGUACUAAUAGGUUGAUUUAAAAACUAC